UGUCAACUUUAUUUAUAACAAUGAAAUCAAAUGUGUUUUAGUUUAUUAAUCAUGUCAUAUUGACGUUGUUUAUAAAUUACUAAUGCUUUGCUGUAGUUACUAUUUAUUUACUAUUUCAGUUAAACAUAAUUUUUACCAUCAAACAUUAUCAGUGUUCCAAAAGUUACCAGUGUUUCAAACAUUACCAGUGUUUCAGAUGGUCUCUGGAAGUUUGACAAGUUGUUGACGAGUUGCAAAGGAUUUCCUGAAAGCUGCCUAUCAACUCAUGCAAUUGCAACUGAUGAAAGCAGCUGAAGAAGUUUAAACAGAUGAUAAACUGUAUCAUAUUGAGGCUUCAAUUUGCCAUGAUUUAUUUGUGUCGAAGUUUUGCCCAGCCACUAUCAAGCGCUCCAAAAUUGACCACUCUAGCUCUUGUAAAUGUAAAAUUAAUUACCAAACUAUCAAACAACGCAAUGACAAAAAAGGACUCUUGUACACAGUCUGGUACAGUUAGGGUUUUGCUCACUCCAAUGAUUUAUUAAGUUUUGUGAAUCAUGUUAUUUAAUCUCUCAAAAAUUUUUUUCAAGUUUUGUAUAAGCAUUGUUGAUACUGCGUUAAAAGGUUGAUACCAGCUCACCGCCUUAAAAACAACCUCUCACUUAAAGGAUUGGCAAAGACCCUGGAGUUAAGAGAGAAAUUCUUUUCAUGUAGAACACUUCUACAUGAUGUGAUGUCGAAUCCAAGUGUUAUGUAAAAUUCGGAAACUUGCGAACACUCGACUCAAUCAAAUCUAGCCUCGAAUCUUUUCAGCAAUCAGUGUGGCUUGUACAAAGUUUUUUUGUCAAUGUAAUUUGAAAGUCAAUCAUCAGUGGGCCUGACAAUAUUCUGAAUUUGGAAAUAAUUCCACUGACAGAGUUGCAUGUCCUUAUAGAAGCUGUCAAUCAUCUUUUCAAGAUACUACAAAAUUGGUUGGAUAGAAGCUGCUAAGAGGCCAGCUGCCCUCCACAUUCACUGUGAACGAAAACAAAAAACUUUUAAAAAAAUUCAAUGUGUUCCAACUUGCUGAUACAAACUCGGUUCCUAACAUACUUCACAUAAUUUAAGCAUUUAAAAGUUUUAAAGUUUUUUUUGAAUUAAAACUUUUAGUUGUAAAAACUUUUUAAAAUUUAUACUUUAGCUUGAUUUUGCUGAAAUAAUUGAAAGUUUCAAAAAGUAUUACUUAAUGACAAUUGGCAAGCGUAACACCUAAAGUUCACACCAUCUUCUUCCAUGUCAAAGAUUUUAUCAUUUGCAAAGUAUCCUCCUAGGGACCCUAUAACAAAUAAACUGUCGAAACUGCUCAUCAAUACCUUUUAUAAACAUUGGUUAAGAACGAAACAAUAAUUAU